GCCGGUGUGAUUCCGGCGCUGACCCGCAACCGUGACCCGCCCAGGCCCCGCCGGGCGGGAAGCCGGA
rnacentral:ncRNA from 2 species